rnacentral:lncRNA from 1 species
AAAACUUAAUUGGAAAUCUGUGUUGUAGAAUGUGAAAAGUGCUAUGAUGUUUGGAACUUUAAGUUGUAGCCUUGGUCAUUAAAGUGCUCAAUAGCAAUUCAGAAACUUGUCAUGGUUGUGGAAAGGUGACAUUGGUGACCACACUGAAUACCAGGAAUGAGAGGGUUUUCUGCACUCUGCACCACAAGUAAGAAUUUUUAUUAUGUCUAGUUAUUUACUUUAAAACUGUAAUUUAUUAGAUGGCAGCAGUUGUCAUUUUAACUUGGAGUUUACGUUAUUUCCAAAUGUGGAUGACCUUUGAAGAGUAAAUCUGACAUGAUUGUGGAAUAUAUUGCUCUUCUGUUCCCAGUGUUGGAUACCGUUUAUAUUAAGGUUGCCUAAAUGCAAGAGCAUUGAUGCUAAAAAGGAGAGAGAGGUAAAUUUUUAAUACUAAAGUUUGCAGCCUACCAAAGAUUGAUGAAACACUAAUCAAUUAUUUUGUAUUAGGGAUUGAUAGGAUGGGGUUUUCUAAUAUAAUAAAAUAAAGCAUUGUAGGUGACUAAUUUUAGGUCACUGAUUUUGGAGACUAAUUUUAGUGUCUGUGUGUGCAUAAUCAUUUUUCUCAGGUUGAUCUGUCCAUAGGUGGCAAGAACUUUUCUAUGCACACGUGCAGAUAAAAAAAUGGACAAAGUGUAAGAACUGCUUCCUAGUGUCAGCUCAUAUAGCAUGUGCACGUUUCUCCAGAAUGGCAUUUUUCUGUUGAUAUUUUGUUUGUAUCUGUGAACUUCUGAUAAGAAAGGGAUGAUUUUCUUAAUCUUCAUACAUGUGCCAAAACAGUCUCAAUCUUACUGUAUAGGAUGUUAAAUAAUAUGGUUAUUAUAAUAUUUCUUAAUCUAGAAAAAUGUUCAUUGACUUUAUGAGAAGUGAAGAAUUAAGUUUCUUAACUACUUGAUUUCACCCAUACGUGGAAUACACUUUUUUCUCAUCUUCCCAGUGUAACUUACAAAUUUUUAAAUUGUAUGAACAUUGUGCAAAUUAUUGUCUGUAUGUAAAAUUAAAUCUGUAUGUAAAAUGAAAUAGCUGAGCAUUGAGACAUGGUAUGAUUAGAUCUUCUUUUCCUUACCAUUGUUUUGUUUUUUCUUGGAGUUAAAUUUUAUUUUUCCAGCUUUCAGUAACCGUAUCAAAAAGUCAUACUCAAAUUCUAUACUAAAAUAUCUUCUCAAGAUUUACAUACACAUUCAUCAGUCCCUCAAAUUCAUCUACAAGUUUUUUUAAUCCCUGGGGUUUAGAAGUGGUUAGAGUGUACCCCAUUUUUGGAGCUGGGUGCUUUGCCCUUGUUGGUUCUCCUCACCUUUUUGAUAAUAGUGUUAGCAGCCCAUUCAUUAACAUCUGUUGAACCA